CCCUUAGAUGUUCUGGGCUGCACGCGCGCUACACUGACGCACGCAACAGGUGCCUGCUCCGAGAGGACUGGGUAAUCAUUUGAGUGUGCGUCGAGAUGGGGAUAGAAUAUUGUAAUUAUUACUCUUCAACGAGGAAUUCCUAGUAAGCGCCAGUCAGCAGCUUGCGCUGAUUACGUCCCUGCCCUUUGUACACACCGCCCGUCGCUCCUACCGAUGGGUGAUCCGGUGAAUGAUUCGGACUUCAGCGGCUCCCCUGGGGUGCGCCGGAGAAAGUUUUGUGAACCUUAUCACUUGGAGGAAGGAGAAGUCGUAACA
rnacentral:rRNA from 1 species